GUGAGUCAUCGAAUCUUUGAACGCACAUUGCACCCUCUGGUAUUCCGGGGGGUAUGCCUGUUCGAGCGUCAUUGCAACCCUCAAGCACUGCUUGGUAUUGGAUGCUACCACUGUGGUGCAUCUUAAAAGUAUUGGCAGUAGCAUUUGGCUUCUAGCAUAGUAAUUUUCUUGCUUUGGAGUCUGGAUGUCUGGCUGCUAGAACCCCUAAAUCAUUAAGGUUGACCUCGGAUCAGGUAGGGAUACCCGCUGAACUUAAGCAUAUCAAUAAGCGGAGGA
rnacentral:misc_RNA from 1 species